AUCUAGCUGAAAAGUCCCAAAUAGGACGAAAUGCACAUAAUGGAU
rnacentral:hammerhead_ribozyme from 1 species